rnacentral:rRNA from 1 species
AUGCCACGACGGGCUUUGCACUACCGACGGAAGGGAGACACGAUGUCUUGGGAUAAUCUGCCAAUGUCAUCUAACAAUGAAUCUAUGACAAGUCAGCCACCUACGACCAUGGAGUGCACGAAAUGGAGCACCCUAGCUCUGAAUCAUGUUGCUCAUUGUGAGCAUCGAGCCCCGUGUGAAGAGUUGGUGGCAUUUGAAUCCACUGAUAGCGGCAGGAGGUUUCUAGGCUGUGCAAAAAAGGAUGGACCCAAGUGCAACUAUGUGGAGUGGAUUGACCCUGAGUGGCCAAUCCCAUUGAAGCAAUAA